AUGGCGAUCCACCUGCUGGCGUUCAUGGCGGCCAAGGGGUUCGUGCAGGUGUUCCAGGUCUCGGCGCCGCUGCUGUGGCCGCUCAACCUCUGGCUGCCCCUCCCGCGCAACCUGCCGGAGGUCUGCGUCGUCGUCUGCAGCGCGCUCGCCGCCCACGUCGCCUGGCUGCGCCGCGCCUACGCCCGCCGCGGCUCCCGAAGCCGCGACGACGACGACAGCGAGCUCCACCGCCAGGCGCUCGUCGACGCCUCCGCGUACUGA
rnacentral:rRNA from 1 species